rnacentral:snRNA from 1 species
UCACUCUGGCAGCACAUAUACUAAUAUUGGAAUGAUGCAGAAAAAAAUUUUCAUGGUCCUGGCAUAGGGAUGACAUGCAAAUUUAUGAAAUUUGUUCUAUAUCU